rnacentral:rRNA from 1 species
UACGGAGGGUGCAAGCGUUGUUCGGAAUCACUGGGCGUAAAGGGCGUGUAGGCGGUCCGCUAAGUCUGAUGUGAAAGCCCGAGGCUUACCCUCGGAAGUGCAUUGGAGACUGGCGGACUGGAGUCCCGGAGAGGAGGGUGGAAUUCCUGGUGUAGCGGUGGAAUGCGCAGAUAUCAGGAGGAACACCGGUGGCGAAGGCGGGUCUCUGGGCAGUAACUGACGCUGAGGAGCGAAAGCGUGGGGAGCGAACAGG